GGACCAUUAGCUCAGUUGGUCAGAGCCACCGGCUCAUAACCGGUUGGUCCAAGGUUCGAGCCCUUGAUGGUCCACCA
rnacentral:tRNA from 1 species